CCCGGUGACUAUGGCGGAGGGGCCACACCCGUUCCCAUUCCGAACACGGAAGUAAAGCCCUCCAGCGCCGAUGGUACUGCGAUGGAGACGUCGUGGGAGAGUAGGUCGUCGCCGGGU
rnacentral:rRNA from 1 species